ensembl:lncRNA
CAAACAGCUGGUUAGACAUGCUGAUGUUAAAGAACUCCCACCGAUAAACCAACAAAUUGGUUUUGUGAAAGUAUGGAUCUGAUCUUUCCAGCUGUUGAUAUGCAAUCUUUAUUAAUGACACGUUGGCAGUAUCAGUAGCAAUAAUGAUAUCUGAACACUGUCCUGUAUCCUCCUAUGAUCUCCGUAUGUGUUUUUCCAUCUGAAACAUGAUCUUUUAUUUUUAAGUUUAUCAGCAGAGAACUGACUGAUAGUUUUGGGUAGAUGUGUUGCAGGACUGAAGACUCGGAGACACGACGGAGCUCAACAUUUCCCUCUUGUGCUUCGCUGUUGAACCGCUUGUAUGUAUAGAAUCAGCCAGUGUGUGGAGCACUAGUGCCUCCUUUUGACUUUUAGACAUACUGCAGUGUACACAAUCAUUUUCUCCUCCAGUCAAUGUUUUUUUCCACUGUAAAAGUGAGAAAGGUAUACUCGUACUUAUUAAAAAGAAAGUCAGUAAUUUGGACUACGCUGUUGCUGGAACAAUAAUUGUGGUGUUACAGUAAUAACAGCCAAAGACAACAAAGAACAGUUUGGGAUAUUUUGUGAAUAUCAAUGAGGCUGUGUCAUCGUUUCACUCUAGAGGAAUACCGCCGAGGAGAGAUUAAAGCAAAUCCGAGGAAGGCUAGGACAUGAAAUGGUAAACAGACUGAGACGUAUAUAGUGAAUUUCUAACUGAACACUCGAAGCACUUGUUACUACCUCAUUCACUCAGUCACAUUCAUGCACACACUCACACUCUGACAGAUGCACUGGAGCCAGUAUCGUGCUUCAGUGGGGGACUUCAGUGUGCAAACUGGAGUAGUCAGGGAGUGGACCAGUGACGUUCUGACUGAUCCACUCUACCACAGUCCCCCACAAGGAGGCCGGCCACAAAUGGAGAGGAGGUCUGCAGUCUAACGGCAGUUCCUCGAGCCUUCAGAGUGCCUCUCCGGUUAAAGCAGGACAGCAGCUUUGAGCUGCACAACCACA